rnacentral:rRNA from 1 species
UACAGGGGGGUGCAAACGUUGCUCGGAAUCAUUGGGCGUAAAGCGCACGUAGGCGGUUUGUUAUGUCGGAUGUGAAAGCCCUUGGCUCAACUGAGGAAGUGCAUCCGAAACUGCGAGGCUCGAGUAUGGAAGAGGGUCGCAGAAUUCCCGGUGUAGAGGUGAAAUUCGUAGAUAUCGGGGAGGAAUACCAGUGGCGAAGGCGGCGCCUGGGCCAAUCUGACGCUGAGGUGGCGAAAGCGUGGGGAGCAAACAGG